rnacentral:rRNA from 1 species
UUCCGAUGGUGAACCUGCGGAAGGAUCAUUACCGAGUGAGGGCCCUUUGGGUCCAACCUCCCACCCGUGUUUAUUUUACCUUGUUGCUUCGGCGGGCCCGCCUUUACUGGCCGCCGGGGGGCUCACGCCCCCGGGCCCGCGCCCGCCGAAGACACCCCCGAACUCUGUCUGAAGAUUGAAGUCUGAGUGAAAAUAUAAAUUAUUUAAAACUUUCAACAACGGAUCUCUUGGUUCCGGCAUCGAUGAAGAACGCAGCGAAAUGCGAUACGUAAUGUGAAUUGCAAAUUCAGUGAAUCAUCGAGUCUUUGAACGCACAUUGCGCCCCCUGGUAUUCCGGGGGGCAUGCCUGUCCGAGCGUCAUUGCUGCCCUCAAGCCCGGCUUGUGUGUUGGGCCCCGUCCUCCGAUUCCGGGGGACGGGCCCGAAAGGCAGCGGCGGCACCGCGUCCGGUCCUCGAGCGUAUGGGGCUUUGUCACCCGCUCUGUAGGCCCGGCCGGCGCUUGCCGAUCAACCCAAAUUUUUAUCCAGGUUGACCUCGGAUCAGGUAGGGAUACCCGCUGAACUUAAGCAUAUCAAUAAGCGGAGGA